rnacentral:lncRNA from 1 species
GAUCUGAAUCUUUUAAGUUCAAUUUUGAAUUAAUUGGAUUUUCGGUUGAGUUUUGAGCCUUUUCGGAUGAUAUGACCUUGAAAGUCAAUAUUUAAGAAAUUGGGAAAUAAAGGACGAGAGCCAAUGAAAUUAUAAUGCUUGGAGGGUGUAGAUUAAUUCCACAAUUAAUGAGCCUGGACAGUGGAGAUUAAGCUUGAUAGCUCAGUGUUUAUAACUCCUAACAGAUCACAUCUGCAACUUAACGAACUUAGUUGUCAAGACUUGACGUCAAAUUGAUCAAUAUACAAAUUGAAAAUAAAUGAAACAGUGGGUUUUCUGGGCAGUUUUCUGAUUUCUAGUCAAAAAUGGUAAAACGGAUAUUGAGUACAAGGAAUUGAAAUGCUGAAUUAAUCUAAUUAAUGGGUAUUGAGUACUAGAGUUGUGAUUCCCGUUUACAAUUAGUAUUGCCUUAAAGUUUUGGGAUACACACAGGACAAUAUUUUCAGUAACAUUUGAGAUCAUGCAAUUAUGCAACAAAAUCAGAACAGGAUUGUACAUUUCAGAAGUUCACAACCUUCAAUAGUAAAGGUUCCCCUUGCAACAACUACACUAGAUAAUAAGAAUCUACCAGUUAAGCUUCCUACAUCACUAAUAUUUACUGUUUCACUAGGAGCAAUGCAGUUGUUGAAUUUUUUGGGACAAGCUGCAUUUUCUGCUUGAACUCCCUACACAAACAAAACAUUUUUUCAUCCAGAAUUCCUAUAUCAUGAAAUCCAUAACAAUGUAAAACAAAGCUAAUUUUGGAUGACUUAAUGUAGUACCUCCAAAAUCAAAACUUAAUAAUAUUGCAACAGUAAGUUCAAGAAUUUCAAUUUCCAUUCUUCUGAAAAUUACAAUCAAGAGCAUGCCACCACCAGUUAUUUCAAUGUUCAUAGGAGACAUGAUAACCUUUAUCUCUGCCAUCUUUUGAAUUUGUAAAGCUAUCAUGGAUCUUGACGAUGUCCCCACGUCCACAUUUUGCUCCUUCUUUGCACUGUCUGACUACUCUAGCAUAGCUUCAAUAGAAACAAUUUUGGUGGUAUUUUCCAUGCCUCAACUGUGAUAUCAUCGAUUUAGUCAUUGCCAUUUUCAGCGAGACAUACAACCUCGCUAGAUUUAUCCCUUGGUUCAGAAACUUUAGCACAUUCACUUUCGAUUAAUGCUGAUGCAUUCUCGUCCCAAUUGAUUUCAUAACAACUAGUGUUAGUAGUUUUGCUUCAACAGUUCAAAAUUUAAAAAUAGAAAGCCAAUUAAAUAAAUAGCUGAAAAUCAGAACUCGACUGAAUGAACACACACUUGACUUUAACCUAUCAAGGCAGGCCAAGAAAACCUGCCUAGUAUCAAUCCGAUAACAAAUGUAUAAACCCAGAACAUGUGGGAGAGAAUCAAUAGUUGUAUGAGGAUCAUAAAAUAGUCUCAUGUGUUUAAAUAAAUGUACGUUGAUUGAAAUUCACUAAGGUGUAGAUCUAGAAUGGGUCGUGACAUUAUAAGCACUGGAUAGAUUGAGACCUAUCAAUUUCGGUACCGUAUCUAAAACAGCAAAACCAUAAACUCGUGAAUUCAGAUAUGAUUUUACGAUCGCGGUUUUCGUGGUGUCUGUAGUUUGGAUGGAGUAAAGUUUCACUAGAAUAUCAGAUUCGACCCGUUAAGGACAUUCGUCGAACAUCUGAUCCUCAUUGUAUUCUGAAUCGAUGUUACAACUAUUUACAAUUUACAAACUUUAGCAGUUCAACCAUAAUAUGCUCAUCUGAAAUCACCUGAGCUUGGUUGUUCCCUUCAUUCAUUUCCCUCGAACAGACAUCAAGACAAAAGCAGUUGGCAGUCAACGCUGCGUGCACAUUCAUAGAUGCAAGAGUUGCAUUGGCAAUCAACACUGCAUAUACAAUCUUCAUGCCACCUCUGCAAUUGCUUAACACUCAUAAGUAUUCCCGACAUUCUAUUCGUAAGGGCCCGUUUGUUUGCAUUGUUUCGUUGAAUCAAUUCAGCCAAAGUUGAUUCAGCAAAUAUCUUUUUUGAAUUAUUAUCCAAAGUCGAGAUAGGUUCGUUCCUCUGAUACCAAUUGUCAAGACCUAACCUCAAAUUGAUUAACAAAGAAGUUGACAUAAAUGAAACAAUGCAUUUUUUGGGCAAUUUUCUGAUUUCAAUUCAAAAAUGGUAUAAUGGAUAUUGAGUACAAAAAACUGGAAUGCUGAAUUAAACUAAGAUAACUACGAUACGUGGGACUCCAUUGUUAUCCUUGAAUCUGCAAAAAGAAGGAGUUGAGAAUUAGAUUUUCAGAGAGAGAAAAGAAAGAGACGAGAGAGAAGAAACACGAGAAAGAAGCCUAAAAAUACCAUAAGUUUGUUAUGCUAUAGUUCUGAUCUAUUAGGAGUUAUAAACGGUGAGCUAUCAAGUUUAAUCUCAACCGUUCAAGCUCAUUAAUUGCCAAAUGAAUCUACACCCUCCUCGCAUUAUAAUUUCAUUAGCUCUUUUCCUUUAUUUUUCACUUACAACCCGUUUGCUAGGCUGCACUAACUAGAAUAGUCCUUGAAUUAAAACUUAAUCGGAUUCAAU